UAAUAUGUCAUUUUUUAUCAUCCUUUUACAGACUGGCUGAUCAUUUUACUCACGAUCUUGGCAGUUCUCCUCAUUCUGCUCAUCUGUGUCAUUGUAGCAACCAGAAAAAGAUGUUGUGGCAAGAAAAAGACUCUGAUUAUCACAAAACACAGCAGCAGUAAAGAGAACGGUGCGUCCGCGUCAUUCGCUCAGGAGCCGGAGAUGGUCACACUCGUCCACUGAACAGAUCCUCGAGAAACAGCAACAUCAGUCUGGAGAACCGAGAAAACAUUAGAAGACAUGACCAGAGAGAGAGACCUGGGAAUGAAAACGAAGAUAAGACGCCUUGAAACUGAGAUUUGAAAUAAAUCAAGAGGAUUUAAGGAUCAGAUCUGAAGAACCACCGGCUGUAUUUGUGUGUGCGUGUGUGUAUUCAUUUUAUAUUUCAGUAUUAAUUGAUGUUUAAUUUUACACUAGUAUAUUUGUGAUGAAGUAUUUUUUUUCAGAGGCUUUGCCUGGUAUAAUUACACUGGUGAAAUCAGUGCUGGUCAGAUUGUUCAGUAAACUCGGGUGUUACCAUCCCUUGGUCUCCUGCUGUGCAUUUUGCUCUUCAGCAAACCCAAGAUAAGCCAAAGUUUACAUGACAAUGAGCUGACUUUGAACGAUAUCGGCAAUAUCUUUUUUUGAGAGAGAGAGAGAGAGAGAGAGACCUCCAGGUGUACUGAUUGUCUGAAGCCUGUAGAGCAGAGCCGGUAACUCUGGCCCUCGAGGACCAAAAGAACCAAACAACCAAAAGUAGUGCAGGUCAUCACUUCAAGAAAGUGAGGAAAAAUCCAGCAUUGGUGUGUUUUGCACACACACAAAAAAUUAUCCCAUGGAAUUUUGACACGUUUGACUUUGCAAAUGAGCAUGAAAGUCUUUAAAAGCAGCAACUUUAAAUUUUGGACCUUCAUUAUCAAGUUGUUAUUAACUGAAAGAGCUCUUCUCUUAACCUCUGUAGUUAAACAAACACGAUUUGAAAUACAUUUAUUUUAUGCUAAGUAUUCUACAAAUACAUUUACAUGUACUUAAUAUAAAUACCCUUGCUAUAUUAAACUGGUAUACUUAAAGUCUGCUAAAUUGGAACUAAUUCUGUACUAAGUGCACUUGUGUGCAUAUGUGUGGGUAGUUUUUUGUUGUGUGUUUCAGAAUUUCAGUCUUCAUUAAGGAAGAUGACGAGCCGGUUCACACUGUCAAUCACAUUACGCCGCCUCCUUCACACACCCGUAUCUCCUCCACGUCUCCAGCGUCUUGCUCGCUUUGGUGGUGCUUGUUCACUUGAGCUUGUCGCUAGAGUCCUUCUGUACUGUGUGUGUUUAUUCUUUGAUUGAAACGUUUGUCACAGUGUGGUAGUGGAGUGUAUAGUUCUCACACUCUUCUAUCGUCAUCACGUUGUGUGUGAGGCUGGGAAGGAGGGAGCGGUUAAGUAAGUAAGUGGCGCACCACAUAGGAAAUCCUGUUUGUAUGAACAUUACCACACCCUGUAGGUCUGUUAUCUGGUUAGUCGGCGUAGUUUAGUUUGGACGUCUUGACACUGAAGACUUUUCUUUUCUACAUUUUUCUUUUGAUAGAUAGCUUAGCUGAUUAAACCUCGUUAGCUUUGUUUUGUUUUAUUUAUUUAUUUGAUUUGGCAUCUCUCGAGCUCGCCUUCCCACCUUGUUUUGGUAUUGUUAUUUGUGCGAUUUGUUCCUGUUUAAAUAUUAUUUUCUUUUCACCUGUUCACUUUUGGCACUGUACAAUAAAUUCAAAAGAGAGGA